GAUGAACGCUGGCGGCGUGCCUAAUACAUGCAGGUCGAGCGAACAGACGAGGAGCUUGCUCCUCUGACGUUAGCGGCGGACGGGUGAGUAACACGUGGAUAACCUACCUAUAAGACUUGGAUAACUUCGGGAAACCGGAGCUAAUACCGGAUAAUAUAUUUAACCGCAUGGUUCAAUAGUGAAAGACGGUUUUGCUGUCACUUAUAGAUGUAUCCGCUCCGCAUUAGCUAGUUGGUAAGGUAACGGCUUACCAAGGCGACGAUGCGUAGCCGACCUGAGAGGGUGAUCGGCAACACUGGAACUGAGACAAGGUACAGACUACUACGGGAGGCAGCAGUAGGGAAUAUUCAGCAAUGGGCGAAAGCAUGAAGGAGAAACGCAGCGUGAGUGAUGAAGGUCUUCGGAUCGUAAAACUCUGUUAUUAGGGAAGAAAAAAUGUGUAAGUAAAUAUGCACGUCUUGACGGUACAUAAUCAGAAAGCAACGGAUAACUACGUG
rnacentral:rRNA from 1 species